CUAGGUUUUGGACAUCUGACGUCGCAACUUACUCGAAAACGAUUGAAUUUUUUACCGUAGCCUACACAUGUGUCAAUAUGAAACCUCGUCAAGUUUCGUGAUUUUCUAACUUCGUAUACAUUUAAUAUAAUUUUAAAUCAAUUUUCUGAAAAGCGGGUAAUCAUGUGACGCGUAAAAGAUGCGUGAAAUUUGAUUCGAGUUUAUGCAUAGAGACUCCACACACAUCAAAUAACAUGAAUAACAUUUUUUGAAAGACUACAGUUAAUUAUAUCAUGCACCUGU
rnacentral:lncRNA from 1 species